rnacentral:rRNA from 1 species
AUUGAACGCUGGCGGAAUGCUUUUCACAUGCAAGUCGAGCGGCAGCGCGGCCUUCGGGCUGGCGGCGAGCGGCGAACGGGUGAGUAAUGCAUCGGAACAUGCCCAGUCGUGGGGGAUAACACUUCGAAAGAAGUGCUAAUACCGCAUACGUCCUGAGGGGGAAAGCGGGGGAUCGCAAGACCUCGCGCGAUUGGAGUGGCCGAUGUCAGAUUAGCUAGUUGGCGGGGUAAAGGCCUACCAAGGCGACGAUCUGUAGCUGGUCUGAGAGGAUGAUCAGCCACACUAGGACUGAGACACGGCCCAGACUCCUACGGGAGGCAGCAGUGGGGAAUUUUGGACAAUGGGGGCAACCCUGAUCCAGCCAUUCCGCGUGAGUGAAGAAGGCCUUCGGGUUGUAAAGCUCUUUCGGCAGGAACGAAACGGUGGGCUCUAACAUAGUCCGCUAAUGACGGUACCUGAAGAAGAAGCACCGGCUAACUACGUG